AUACAUGCAAGUCGAACGAACUCUGGUAUUGAUUGGUGCUUGCAUCAUGAUUUACAUUUGAGUGAGUGGCGAACUGGUGAGUAACACGUGGGAAACCUGCCCAGAAGCGGGGGAUAACACCUGGAAACAGAUGCUAAUACCGCAUAACAACUUGGACCGCAUGGUCCGAGUUUGAAAGAUGGCUUCGGCUAUCACUUUUGGAUGGUCCCGCGGCGUAUUAGCUAGAUGGUGGGGUAACGGCUCACCAUGGCAAUGAUACGUAGCCGACCUGAGAGGGUAAUCGGCCACAUUGGGACUGAGACACGGCCCAAACUCCUACGGGAGGCAGCAGUAGGGAAUCUUCCACAAUGGACGAAAGUCUGAUGGAGCAACGCCGCGUGAGUGAAGAAGGGUUUCGGCUCGUAAAACUCUGUUGUUAAAGAAGAACAUAUCUGAGAGUAACUGUUCAGGUAUUGACGGUAUUUAACCAGAAAGCCACGGCUAACUACGUGCCAGCAGCCGCGGUAAUACGUAGGUGGCAAGCGUUGUCCGGAUUUAUUGGGCGUAAAGCGAGCGCAGGCGGUUUUUUAAGUCUGAUGUGAAAGCCUUCGGCUCAACCGAAGAAGUGCAUCGGAAACUGGGAAACUUGAGUGCAGAAGAGGACAGUGGAACUCCAUGUGUAGCGGUGAAAUGCGUAGAUAUAUGGAAGAACACCAGUGGCGAAGGCGGCUGUCUGGUCUGUAACUGACGCUGAGGCUCGAAAGUAUGGGUAGCAAACAGGAUUAGAUACCCUGGUAGUCCAUACCGUAAACGAUGAAUGCUAAGUGUUGGAGGGUUUCCGCCCUUCAGUGCUGCAGCUAACGCAUUAAGCAUUCCGCCUGGGGAGUACGGCCGCAAGGCUGAAACUCAAAGGAAUUGACGGGGGCCCGCACAAGCGGUGGAGCAUGUGGUUUAAUUCGAAGCUACGCGAAGAACCUUACCAGGUCUUGACAUACUAUGCAAAUCUAAGAGAUUAGACGUUCCCUUCGGGGACAUGGAUACAGGUGGUGCAUGGUUGUCGUCAGCUCGUGUCGUGAGAUGUUGGGUUAAGUCCCGCAACGAGCGCAACCCUUAUUAUCAGUUGCCAGCAUUAAGUUGGGCACUCUGGUGAGACUGCCGGUGACAAACCGGAGGAAGGUGGGGAUGACGUCAAAUCAUCAUGCCCCUUAUGACCUGGGCUACACACGUGCUACAAUGGAUGGUACAACGAGUUGCGAACUCGCGAGAGUAAGCUAAUCUCUUAAAGCCAUUCUCAGUUCGGAUUGUAGGCUGCAACUCGCCUACAUGAAGUCGGAAUCGCUAGUAAUCGCGGAUCAGCAUGCCGCGGUGAAUACGUUCCCGGGCCUUGUACACACCGCCCGUCACACCAUGAGAGUUUGUAACACCCAAAGUCGGUGGGGUAACCUUUUAGGAACCAGCCGCCUAAGGUGGG
rnacentral:rRNA from 1 species